UUAAAGCACCAAGUAAAUAGUAGUUUUUAUUAUAUCAUCCGUAUAUACUCCUUUCUCCUCUCCAGAAAUUUCAAAGCAGAAUUCUCAGACAAUCCUACAUUCUCUAGACAAGUGUAAUUCUCUUUAUUCUAGACAGACAGACACAUAGACACACACUCCUAGAACUCACAAGAUUUUCCAUAAUUAGGUGGGGGAAAGGUGACAGGAAAAAGACAUCUUGAAAGUCCUGUUCUCUCUUUGCUCUGUGGACUUGUUCCUGAUAUUUCCAAUGCCCUGAAAUAAUUCACGUUUCUAUUUACCUAACUAGUGCUUAAUCAAUCUUCUGAGUUCAAAAUUGAAAAUAUCUUCUGAGUUCUGCUUAGAGGACUCUGCCGAGUCUAGGUUAGGCACCUCUCUUAUAAAAGAGCAUCUCUUUUUGUUUUUUGCAGUACGCGGGCCUCUCACUGUUGUGGCCUCUCCCAUUGCAGAGCACAGGCUCCGGGGCCGUGGCUCACAGGCCCAGCUGCUCCGCGGCAUGUGGGAUCCUCCCGGACUGGGGCAUGAGCCUGUGUCCCCUGCAUCGGCAGGCAGACUCCCAACCACUGCGCCACCAGGGAAGCCCAAAGCAUCUCUCUUAUAAAAUCCUGGUAGAGGGCCCUUAAACAAGGAAUUGAUAUUGCUUUUUUUUAAAAUUUAAUUAACUUAUCUAUUUCUGGCUCUGUUGGAUCUUUGUUGCUGAGUACGGGCUUUCUCUAGUUGCAGCGAGGGGCGGGGGCUGCUCUUCAUUGCGGUGCGCGUGCUUCUUAUUGCGGUGGCUUCUCUUGUUGCAGAGCAUGGGCUAUAGGCAUGCGGGCCUCAGUAGUUGCAGCAUGCAGGUUCAGUAGUUGUGGCUCAAGGGCUCCAGAGAAAAGGCUCAGUAGUUGUGGCACAUGGGCUUAGUUGCUCUGUGUCAUGUGGGAUCUUCCUGGACCAGGGAAUUGAACCCAUGCCCCUGCAUUGGCAGGCAGAUUCUGCCAAUUGAGCCACCAGGGAAGUCCAAAAUUGCUUUUUGACUUGUCAGUCUUCCCAACUGUACUAUAAGGUCUUUGAGGGCACAGGCCAUGUCAUUCCUUUUCACCAGCAUCUAGCACAGUCUUGACACAUGCUAAGUGCUUAAAGACAUGAGGUAAAAGAAAAAAUGGAAGAAAGGAAGGGUGGAAAGGAUGAAAAGAGAGACAGAGGCAAGAAAGAAAGGAGGAAAGAAAUAAAAGGUUAUUUUUAUUUUCAUUCUUCCCUGAAAGGAAUGUUCAAAGAACAAGACAGUUACUACAGCAUCAUUAAAACUCAUUUCCACCCAAAUCUACAUUUUGCAUCAAAUCCCAUGUCAGUGUGUUCUCUUCCUCUCAUCAGAGUAAUAGGGUGUUUUUAAAAUGUCAACUCAGCAUAAAACCUAUUUGGGGCAAAAUGGACUCCAGGGAGAUUGACUGAAAUUCCCAUUCUUCUCCUCCUGGUUCUCCUUCUGCUUCCUGUUCAUUUUAGCAAAAAGCUCUGAUCUGUUAAAAAAAAAAAAAAAAAAAGGUUGCGGUAGGGAGCCUCUAGCAAGAGACACAUAUAGAACAUGUGUCUCAUCUGCUUUUUAACAUUAAGUACAGGAAAUUUUCAGCUUCAUUCAUUUAAAAUACUUACUUGUGCUUCACAUUUAUGGCUAGGUAUUAGAGAUGAGAAGCCCAGAUCUGGUUAGUAAUGGGGGAAAAAGUUUAGAAAUAGAGCCAUAGAAAAAGAAAGAUGAUCCAAUGGAAAGUAGAAAUAGAAGUCAUCGUCUUAGAGUAAUAUUUGUUCAGAGCUCUUCAGCUGUUUUAAUCCUAAACUCUAAAUGCUCCCUCUGAGCAUGAACAGGAGAACAAUCUAAAUGAUUUUCAGGUAUGCGCUGGUACUGAGGUGUGGGACUGGAGUGAUAUCCCUCUGGAAUUUGAUGAAAUCAAGUUGAAAUUAAGAUAUGGUUAUCAAACCAGCAAUUCACAUUUUUGGCUAAGGGGAUGUUAAUCAAUAACAUAAAGUAACAGGCUUCACUGUUCUUAAUUUGACAAGUAUUAGAUAAGACUUCUCUGUGCUGCCUUUCUAUUCUAAUUUUUUUAAAUAAGCAUCUUCAAAACUGAUACAAAGAAUUCAAAGAAAAAGGAGUAGCAAAAACAGUUGGGGAAAAAAGGAAGAACUCAGCAAUUUUAAUUGUCCACAUGGGUCAUAAAAAUGGAAUUUUCUAAGGGACAGCUAUCCAGUGCAUUGGCCACAAAAUACACAGAUAUCCCUAGUGAUGCUCUGUCAACGUACAUUAACUUUUGCUGUAUAGGUGGACUCAGUUCUCUUCACAUACUUACUUCUCUGGUGUGUGCCUGGUAAACAGAAGUCUCUCAACAAAUGUUAGUAAAUGAAUAAACACAAGAUUGAAUUAGUGAUCUGCUUAUUUAUCAUUAGGGCCAGGGCUGUUGCUGAAUCCACAAUUUGUACUCAUAGUUGAUUCCUCUGAUAGAGGUAAAACUUAAUGAAGACAGCCUCACAGAGGAGGAGAGGCAGUUCCUGCCUGCUACCUGACAAGCUAAGCCACUUGUCUAAAACAAUUCUACAGCAACAAGUGCCCAGUGGGCAGGGAAGACAGACGUACAGAUGGCUGCCUGGAUGCAUCACGGGACGGAAUUGCCACUACAGCCCAUUGUUACAUUUAUUGCUGACAGUGUAAUUAAUUGGCUGACUCCUUGUUUUUCAAUUGGUCACCCUCAAUGGACAGCUGCACUGGGGGUUGUACUAAUCGUGCCUGGGAUGAGAGUAUGCUCCGCGGGUGGGCCCAGCUCUGCAGCAGGGGCUUUGUGACGUCAACCCUGGACUGCUGUACAGAAGCACGCGCUUCACCCUCCCAGGGCCCUGAACAGGCGUCCUCAUGCCCAGGAAACACAGCAUUUUUUUUUCUGAGUGUUCCUCUUUCUGAAGUAUGAUACAAUGGAAACAAAACAAAACACUUCUUAGUUUCCUUUUCCAAUAAGAAUUUCUUAAAUAUAGACUGAAAUAUCAGCUUUAAUAAUCACUGUAGAAAAAGAUUACAGUAACUUCGUUAGAUUUUAUCCAAAUUAUCAAGUAAAAAGAGAAGCUAGAGUUCAUGUGGAGGCAUCAGAAAGCUCUUUUAACUCAUCUCUGUGUCCAGCAAUCAUGUAUAUAUUUUGAUUUUUAUACUGUGGAAAAUGAUCUUUAUUUUGUGUACAGUAUGAUGAGGAUUAAAUAACACUCACAGGAUAUUUUCAUCAAAGAAUUCUAAGGGAAUUUUUACAGUGAGAAAGCCUCAUAUAUCAAGCACAGGUUCAUCAGGUAAUAACACAAGACUGGAGUCAUGGCUCAGGCAACAAUCUUUCCACUGGUCUCCUGCCCCUCUUUCUUCACCUGUAAAAUGAGUCAUUGCACUUCAGUGACCUUACUUCCACCUGACUAACUUCCAGAAAGUCAUGUGGCAGCUCUGUUCCCUAGGGUUUAAUCUGUAAAAUCAGAGAACUGAACUCAGUGGAUCUCUAACAUUCUGUGACCUUACCUGGAUAUUGAGGCAAAUAGAAAUUUCAAUAUAUUCCACAAAUUAAUAAAAAUAUGUGCAUAUACAUUAUAAGGGCAUGCAUUAACUAAAAAUGCAAGUAAUUCUUGACUUCUUUUUUAAUCACAAAUAUCAGUGUCCAUGAUUUGACAGCUUGCUUAUGAAAAAGUCCCUUACAUGUUCCUUUUUCUGGUUUGCUAAUUUUCCAUUCUGUAUUCCAAGGCAGGCCAAUAAUUGCAAUGAAAUCAGGUUAAACAUUGAUCUUCCACCCUGACAUUGCAUUAACUUUUCUAAUAAACAUCUUCACUGUGUCAACCAGCACUGUGUUUACAUAUUGAGCCCAGCAACCAAUUGUCUUGCUUCUUUUAGAUGCUUUUGAAUUCUGGAAGAAAUCUUCUCUGAAAGACUAGAAUCGUGCAUCUGCCGUGCCUUUCAAUUUUGUAUUUCGGAUUAACUGCUCCUUUUCCUCCACGUUCUGAAGGCCUUCUAAGACAUUUCCUUCCCAGUUCAUCUGAGAAGCCUUCAGACCUGAAAUAUACCAAAGGCUGCAAUGGGGCGGUAUGGGAAGUGGAUGGUGAAAUUUUCUUGUAAGUAUUACUUUUCUUUUUCAGUUCAUAUAUUUUGAAUUCUUAAAAAAAUAGAUAUAAAAUGCUUUAUUACAUUUCUAUUAUAGUCUCAAUUGUAAAAAUAAAUACCCAAA